AACGUAGGUACCGAGCGUUAUCCGGAUUUACUGGGCGUAAAGCGCGUUCAGGCGGUUUGGCAAGUCGGGCAUGAAAUCUCUCGGCUCAACCGGGAGAGGUUGUCCGAUACUGCUGGACUUGAGGGCAGUAGAGGGUGGUGGAAUUCCGGGUGUAGUGGUGAAGUGCGUAGAGAUCCGGAAGAACACCGGUGGCGAAGGCGGCCUGCUGGGCAGUUUGGCUGACACUGAGGCGCGACAGCGUGGGGAGCAAACAGG
rnacentral:rRNA from 1 species